GACGAACGCUGGCGGCGUGCUUAACACAUGCAAGUCGAACGGAAAGGCCCUGCUUUUGUGGGGUGCUCGAGUGGCGAACGGGUGAGUAACACGUGAGUAACCUGCCCUUGACUUUGGGAUAACUUCAGGAAACUGGGGCUAAUACCGGAUAGGAGAUCCUGCAGCAUGGUGGGGGUUGGAAAGUUUCGUCGGUUGUGGAUGGACUCGCGGCUUACCAGCUUGUGGGUGGGGGAGUGGCUUACCAAGGCAUUGACAGGUAGCCGGCCUGAGAGGGGGACCGGCGACAUUGGUACUGAGAGAGGGACCAGAGGCCUAUGGUAGGCAGCAGUGGGGAGUAUUGCACAAUGGGCGGAAGUCUGAGGCAGCAACGCCGCGUGCGGGAUGACGGCUUUGGUGUUGUAAACGGCUUUCGCCUGUGACGAAGCGUGAGUGACGGUACUGGGUAAAGAAGCACCGGCUAACUACGUG
rnacentral:rRNA from 1 species